rnacentral:rRNA from 1 species
GCUCUUCGGAGCUAGUGGCAGACGGGUGAGUAACGCGUGGGAAUCUACCCAGUUCUCUGGAAUAACUGAUGGAAACGUCAGCUAAUACCGGAUACGCCCUUUUGGGGAAAGAUUUAUCGGGAUUGGAUGAGCCCGCGUAAGAUUAGCUAGUUGGUGGGGUAAUGGCCUACCAAGGCGACGAUCUUUAGCUGGUCUGAGAGGAUGAUCAGCCACACUGGGACUGAGACACGGCCCAGACUCCUACGGGAGGCAGCAGUGGGGAAUAUUGGACAAUGGGGGCAACCCUGAUCCAGCCAUGCCGCGUGAGUGAUGAAGGCCUUAGGGUUGUAAAGCUCUUUCACCGGUGAAGAUAAUGACGGUAACCGGAGAAGAAGCCCCGGCUAACUUCGUGCCAGCAGCCGCGGUAAUACGAAGGGGGCUAGCGUUGUUCGGAAUUACUGGGCGUAAAGCGCACGUAGGCGGAUAUUUAAGUCAGGGGUGAAAUCCCGGAGCUCAACUCCGGAACUGCCUUUGAUACUG